UCUCUGUGGUCAGGGUAGCCCUGUGGCUGAUGCUGCAGUCAUUGGGCUGAAGCUGUCCCCUGAGUCCCCAAAGUUGCCCUGCAUCUGCGCCUCUGGCUAGGCUGCCCCAAACUGCCUGGGGUAGUGGGGGGCGGCUGUGGUGGUGACACAGCUACACCUGCAGAAAACCUGUGGAGCGCCUACCUGGAGAAGGGUGACAUCGUGGAGAAGCAUGGGCUGCCCUCCGCAGAUGCCCCGAGCCUGAAGGAGAGCCUGCCCCUGUACGUGGUUGCCGACAUCGCCACAUCCUUCACCGUGCUGGUCGGCAUCUUCUUCCCUUCCGUAACAGGUAUGGCGAUGGUGUCAGCAGGAACUUGGUGGUGGGCACACUGGCCUGGCCUUCACCCUGGGUCAUCGUCAUCGGCUCCUUCUUUUCAACGUGUGGUGCUGGCCUCCAGAGCCUCACAGGCGCACCACGCCUAUUGCAGGCCAUUGCCAAGGACAACAUCAUCCCCUUCCUCCAGGUGUUUGGCCAC
rnacentral:sRNA from 1 species